UACGAUGGAGGGGCUAGCGUUGUCCGGAUUUAUUGGGCGUAAAGAGCGUGUAGGCGGCCAGAUAGGUCUGCUGUGAAAACUCGAGGCUCAACCUCGAGAUGUCGGCGGAAACCAUUUGGCUAGAGUCCGGAAGAGGAAAGUGGGAAUUCCUGGUGUAGCGGUGAAAUGCGCAGAUAUCAGGAGGAACACCGAUGGCGAAGGCAGGUCUCUGGGCAUUAACUGACGCUGAGGAGCGAAAGCAUGGGAAGCGAACAGG
rnacentral:rRNA from 1 species